GAUGAACGCUGGCGGCGUGCCUAAUACAUGCAAGUCGAGCGAACGGACGAGAAGCUUGCUUCUCUGAUGUUAGCGGCGGACGGGUGAGUAACACGUGGAUAACCUACCUAUAAGACUGGGAUAACUUCGGGAAACCGGAGCUAAUACCGGAUAAUAUUUUGAACCGCAUGGUUCAAAAGUGAAAGGCGGUCUUGCUGUCAGUUAUAGAUGGAUCCGCGCUGCAUUAGCUAGUUGGUAAGGUAACGGCUUACCAAGGCAACGAUGCAUAGCCGAACUGAGAGGGUGACCGGCCACAUUGGGACUGAGAUAAGGCCCAGCCUCCGACGGGAGGCAGCAGUGGGGAAUAUUGAACAAUGGGCGGAAGCCUGAUGAAGCAACGCCGCGUUCGGGAUGACGGCCUUCGGGUUGUAAACCGCUUUCGCCUGUGACGAAGCGUGAGUGACGGUAAUGGGUAAAGAAGCACCGGCUAACUACGUG
rnacentral:rRNA from 1 species